GUAAUGCAUCAGGAACGUUAAUAGCGUACCAACCGACUUCCUCGAAGCACGGUGGUUUAGAAUGCGGGAACUCUCCAAAAAUUAACGAGUCA
rnacentral:ncRNA from 2 species